rnacentral:rRNA from 1 species
CCGCGGUAACACCGGCGGCCCGAGUGGUGAUCGUGAUUAUUGGGUCUAAAGGGUCCGUAGCCGGUUUGGUCAGUCCUCCGGGAAAUCUGAUAGCUCAACUAUUAGGCUUUCGGGGGAUACUGCCAGACUUGGAACCGGGAGAGGUAAGAGGUACUACAGGGGUAGGAGUGAAAUCUUGUAAUCCCUGUGGGACCACCUGUGGCGAAGGCGUCUUACCAGAACGGGUUCGACGGUGAGGGACGAAAGCUGGGGGCACGAACCGGAUUAGAUACCCGGGUAGUCCCAGCCGUAAACGAUGCUCGCUAGGUGUCAGGCAUGGCGCGACCGUGUCUGGUGCCGCAGGGAAGCCGUGAAGCGAGCCACCUGGGAAGUACGGCCGCAAGGCUGAACUUAAAGGAAUUGGCGGGGGAGCACAACAACGGGUGGAGCCUGCGGUUUAAUUGGACUCAACGCCGGACAACUCACCGGGGGCGACAGCAAUAUGUAGGCCAAGCUGAAGACUUUGCCUGAAUCGCUGAGGAGUGGUGGUGCAUGG